rnacentral:sRNA from 1 species
UAGCUUCAGAUAAGGACGCAAAUCGUCGC